rnacentral:misc_RNA from 1 species
GAUGAAGAACGUAGCGAAAUGCGAUACUUGGUGUGAAUUGCAGAAUCCCGUGAACCAUCGAGUCUUUGAACGCAAGUUGCGCCCGAAGCCAUUAGGCCGAGGGCACGCCUGCCUGGGUGUCACACACCGUUACCCUCGCGCCAACGUCCAUCGUUGGCCGCGGCGCGGGGCGUGCGCUGACCUCCCGCGAGCGGGGUCUCGUGGUUGGUUGAAAAUCGAGUUCGCGGUCGAGGGUGCCGUGAUGAAAUGGUGGAUGGGCGACGCCCGAGGCCAAUCACGCGCGACUCUGUCCGGCUCNNACUCCUGGACCCCUUCGGCGUCUCCGGACGCUCUUUGGCGAGACCUCAGGUCAGGCGGGGCUACCCGCUGAGUUUAAGCAUAUCAAUAAGCGGAGGA